UACGUAGGUGACGAGCGUUAUCCGGAAUUAUUGGGCGUAAAGCGUACGCAAGCGGUUGAAUAAGUCUGACGUGAAAUCUCUUGGCUUAACUGAGAGCGGUCGUUGGAAACUGUUCGGCUUGAGACGAGGAGAGGAAUGCGGAAUCCCCGGUGUAGUGGUGGAAUGCGUAGAUAUCGGGGGGAACAUCAGUGGCGAAAGCGGCAUUCUGGCCUUAGUCUGACGCACAGGUACGAAAGCGUGGGGAGCGAACGGG
rnacentral:rRNA from 1 species